ACCGCUGUAUAUUGUCGACGUCAUACAUGUAUGGGCGACGGUUCCAAAGUCAUGAAAGUAAGCACAUACGUAUCAGUGAUAUUCUGAUAGAAAGUGUCUCUCUACCAAGGUUACAAAGUUUGAAACCACCACCAAGCAAUGGUCGUUGAAGGUAAAAGACCAACCAAUUGGUGUUUUCCUGCCGUUUUGGCAUGCUGUUGCUUUUGGCCCAUUGGCAUAUGUGCACUUAUUUCGGCAAACGAUGCAAACAAAGCAGCGGACGCCGGCGAUUAUGUCUUCGCAGAUUCCAAAGCUAGAACUGCCAGAAAUUGUGUCAUUGCUGCGUUUGUGUUUGGAAUAAUUGGUAUAAUCAUAUUUAUUAUAGCAAAAGCUUCCCAGAUAGAGUCAGACAGCAGUAAUGUUCCCCAUGGUAACUGAUGACGAAAGUACCACGUGCCAUUUUGUAAAAAGCAGACAGACAUUCCUCUAUACAGUGGUCUAUAUACGCGAUAAUCUCUGGAAUGAUUUUAAUUUUGGUUGAAGAUGCCAUCAUUCAUACAUGUCAUUAUAAUCUGGUCUUCAAGACAAUUUUCUUUACUUUGACGUCCUUAUAUAAAUAAGUUUUUUUUUAGCAUUUCGCCCCGAAAGAUAUAUUAGAAUAAGUUCAAAUGUGGUAUUCAUAAAUAGUUUAUACUGUUUAACCUCAUAUAUAAAUACAAUUUGUUUAAAUAUUCAACCGAACGCUAAUUAUCGAGCGUUAGCUAAAAUGUAAGGUUGAGAUGUUUCGCCUUUUGAUCCGACAUAUAAAAUGGAUUGGCCGAUUUUCUUCUGUUCAUUAAAUAGUUAAAGAUGCCUGUGUUUUAAAUUUCUUCAUAUCUGUUCUUUAGAAAAAGUGUAAUAAUUGUACAAAACAUGUUAUAUUAUUAAAGUGAUCUGUGGU